AAAAUAGCAGUUUCUCGUCACUGUACAUUAAGACUGCACGCUUCUGAACGGAGAUCAGACGCUCGAGUUUCUCUCGACGCUCGGGGGGCCACGGCCUGUGGCCCCGACCUGAAUUUCUGGAGGGAGACGGGUCGAGAGUGUCGCCGCGGACAGUGGCGGGCAGGGAGUGCAGUCCCAGGAGCCCGCCGCUCCCUCCCAGGAAGUGUGAGAUCCCUCUUCCAGUUUUACUUAAAUAACAGCUAACCCCCCCACCCCCCACCCCCCAGACGAGGUAUUUGCGAAAUGGGUCGGCGCCCGGGCCGGGGCCCCGGGGGCCCCGCCACGGGCGGGCAGGGACGGACAUGGGAGGUUCCCCUCAGCACCUGGCCCCCUGGGGCCCCACCGAGCGUCUCUGUGGGGAGAGCCCUGGAGAAUCCUCCUGCCCCCGAGGUCCUGAUGCAGCAUUUCUGAGGUCAAUAAAUUACAGCAAUAAAUAGUGAGGCUGGGAGAAGGGGGGCUCCUGCUGGAAACGGGGGCGCGGGCGGGGAGGGGGCCGGAGGGGGGGCCCGCUGCCAUUCCCGAUCUCUUCUCCCCGCCCCCCUCCGCGGAAUGUGGGCUCGAGGCUCGGCCCCCGCCCCCCCGGAUCAGGAGCCGGAACGUUCAGCCUCAAAAUUCCUGCCCUCAGCACAUGAUUUGGGGAAGCUGGAGACCCCCGGGCCGGGGGGGGGCAAAGAGCGCCCCGCCACUGCCCCGUCUUUGGCCGCCCGGAGGGGGCCCUGCUCAGGAACCUUAUUGCUGACACAGCCCGCGCCCAGCGCGCGCGCGUGUGGAUGUGUGUGGAUGUGUGUGUGACGGACGGACGGACACGCCGGGCCCGGCUCCCUCCGCGCUGCAAGCGGCCGCUGUGUGACGGGUCCGGGCGAGGGGCGUGCCCCGCGUGGUCUUUGUUUGCGAUCCGGCCGGCGGGCGCAGGGCGGGCACCGGGCAGUGGCGUGCCCGAGGCUGAGGAAUAAAUACAUUCAUCACUGCACGUACAGAUUGAUACAAAAGGAACACUGUCAAAGAGUGUCUGCACCAUCUUGGAGAAGGGCCAGGCCGCCCGCACAAGCUCCGCUCUUUGGCCCGGGGGGCCCCGCCCUGCCGCGGCCCCUCCCGCUGGCGCUCCACUGGGGGCCCGGGCCACGGCCGGCUCGGGCGGGGCUCUUUGGUGCCCGGCGGGCAGGGCUCCCGGGGCCGCUGGGAGCGUAAGGCAAAUCCCCGGGGCCGGGGCCGGGGCCGGAGUGGACACACUGGAUGCCUCGGGACUGGUCCUUCCUUCUGCUGAGGUCUGAAACUGUAAGAGUUUAUGUAAACAAUGAGGUCACUAUAUUAGGGUUCUCGGGAGCCCCGCGAGGUUCCGGACUCAGUUACAUGUGCUUUGGUUUACAAAAUAGUUUUAUGAUUUUGGGUGUGAGCUUCUCCCCCCCAGAGCCCGCCGCCUGCUCGCCCGCUUCCUGUUUCUCCGAAGACCGUGGGGAGCCCCUCCCGCCCCUCCCCCUGCUCUCGCCCGGUCCCCCCGGGCUCCCCCGGGCCGCACGCACUCGCAGGCGCACACGCGCUCACUCUCUCUCUCACACGCACGUGACAUGAAGGUACAAAACAAACAGAAAAGUGACCGCCCCCCACCCCCACCCGUAAAAUCUUAAAUAUGAAACUAGUGUUCUGUCUUCUCAUUUAAAAUACAGAAAAUGUCCCGAUACAACACUAAGGUUGGAUACAAUACUAGGUCGUACAAAUGUCAUUGAGUGUCGGGGGCGCGGGCUCCCCGUCCCUGAAGUUGGGGGCUCGGCCGCCCGCCCCCGCUCCUCUGCGUCCGGUGAGCGCCCGGGCCGGGCCGGGAGGGGGGAGGAGGCCCCCGCUGCGGUACAGACUUUGUGUCGGGUGCUUGGGUAAGUGCUGAAGGAGGGGCCGCCGGAGGGGGGGCGGGAGAGAGGACCCCCUCCCUCCCCGAGCGCGGGCUCAGGCUCAGCUCAAGGUUCCUUCUCCAAAGGGAGGAGGGGGCAGAGACUCGAGGACUUUUUGGUCUGAACUUACAAAACUGAACUUACAAAAGAAGAAGUUAUAAAACACAACAGACAAAUGAAAGAGCCCGGGAGGGCGGGGAGGGGCCACCCGGUCCCCCCUGGCCCCAGAGGUCUCGUCCCCAGCCUGGGAAGGUGAGGAGACGCUUUGGUUUGGAUCGGCCGCCCGAGUCCUGCCCGCCCAGUUGUUCUGGGCCCCGUUCUAGUCCAGAUGUGCAGGGGAAAGGGGGGCCCGGAAGGAGCCCUCUCCUCCACCCCCCCCAGCACCCCCCUCUGCCCACCCAAACUGCCCUCAGCACGCUCGCACCCACACAGGCCCGCCGGAGAAAGGCCCCGCUGCUGGGGGGCGGGGGGAGCGGCGCCCGCUGGAUGCGCCCCCCGGCUCCCUGAGACGCGCUCAGCACGCGCGGGCCCCUCCUCCGGGCCAGGGGCUCAGAGCUCACCGACUUAUUGUUCUCGUGAAUUAAGAGGUAGAAAAAAAACUGGAAGUCUCAGAUGGACUCCGUGUUCAGUGAGGAAAGAAGUGACCCAGCCGUCCACGCACGCCACGCGCACUCACGCACCCACUCACGCAGCCACGAAACACAAAGUACCUGGGACGCGGCCCCGCCCCCGCCGCCCCCUGGAACCACCCCCAGGCCGGCACCUCUGGGCCAGGAAGUCUCGGGCCUCGAGGGGGGCCGGGAGGGGGGCCCAGCCGCCCCUCUUACAUUCAGGCCCGGCCCGGGGGCAGCAGGGAGGGAGACCGGGCAGGGGUCGGAGAAAAACAACAAAAACGACCAGGGGCCGAGGGGCGGGAAGCAAACUCAAGGAGGGGA
ensembl:lncRNA